GACGAACGCUGGCGGCGUGCUUAACACAUGCAAGUCGAACGAGUGGCGAACGGGUGAGUAAUACGUGAGUAACCUGCCCUCUUUUUGGGAUAAGCCUUGGAAACGGGGUCUAAUACCGGAUAAGGGGGGAUGGUCUCGCGGCCUAUCAGCUUGUUGGUGGGGUGAUGGCCUACCAAGGCGGUGCCGGGUAGCCGGCCUGAGAGGGUGAACGGCAACAUUGGGACGGAGAUACGGCCCAGACUAGUAAGGGAGGCGGCAGUGGGGGAUAUUGCACAAUGGGCGAAAGACGGAUGCAGCGACGCCGCGUGGGGGAUGAGGGCUUUCGGGUUGUAAACGUCUUUCGGUAUCGAAGGGGUAGGUGGAGAAGAAGCGCCGGCUAACUACGUGCCAGCGGCCGCGGUAAUAC
rnacentral:rRNA from 1 species